CUGUGUGAGGGGAUGGGGAUGUUGCCUGGCCCCUCUACUGGGGGCCAGUGUGAAACCAGCUACUCCCCUGAUGCUCUUCUGUAGAGGGCCCAGGCUGCAGAGAAGAGGGCCCAGGGCACAGAGGAAGCCCUGGUCAGAGCCAUGGAUGACCUACACAAACUCAAGUUGCUGGCCCAGGGUCUAUUAUUGAUUGCAGAUUUGGGUCGGGGCCCCCGGGGCCUUUGGUGCCGUGGCUGAGCUCUGGGAGGAUGAGGACGAGGCCUACUUCAGCUCAUAUGGCCACUACAGCAUCCUUGAAGAGAUGCUUAAGGUCCGCUGCCACAAUGGCCUGCCUGCACGUAUGCAUACACUCAUGCCCUCUAUUAAACUGCUGUUUCUUCUUAACUCAGUAGCCACUGCAGAGAGAGGAGGGACGCAGGUUUAGCAGUGCGGAUUAUGUGAAAGGCUCGAUGUAGCAUUAAAUUAAAAUGAUCGUCUCUAUGCAAACUACGAUGUUGAUAACAUGACACUUUUCUCAAAGUGACAAAUCAGCAAUAAGGAGUGAGCUCUCAUGUGAAACAUCAGCAUUACUAUAACAUGGUGGAGCUUUGAGAUGUGGUGAUUAUAUUUCACACUUCUUAAGCAUUACAAGUUGUGUGUGUGUGUGUGUGGGGGGGGGGUAGGAAUGUGGUCAACCCUCUCUUCCUCUCUCACUUACCGCAGUGCUUCGACACGAUUCGUUCCCUCUCUCUGAUUGGUGCUUAGCACUAUAUAUACGUCAGACUAAACUCCAUCAAAAACCCUUCCUCGGAGGAAAGAUGAACCACGUGACAGGUUUGCGGUAGAAGAUCGUCAACUCUUUUACGGGCUGCCAUAAAGUUGAUCACACUGUGUGUGCGAGAGAGAGCGUGCGUGUGUAAGACAGGGCGAAAGAGAAAUUUAGUCUCACCAUUUAACCCUCCCACUUCCUCCCCUGCCCCAUCAUCAAAGUUUAAUCUGCAUCUCUGGUCAAGUUAUUGAAGAUGAAUCUGGAAGAAUCAGUUCUCUAUUUCUAGAAGCUCUGGUUUUCAAUCAUCCUUGCUCCAAGGAUCCUUCGAGCCUCCUCAUGUCAGCCUAGAUUAAUGAAUAUGAGGUCAGCUGUCAUGUCAGAUCAGUCUUUGGAACAGAUACAAUUAAUUUAUUUCAACACCAUGAGGGGGGUUUCCUUGACGCUCUUAAACCUAGUCCUGGACUAAAAGCAAGCUCAAUGGAGAAUCUCUUUUUCCGGGAAACUGCUCCUAUGGGAUUUCACUGUAAUUUGGCAAAAGAUUAGAUCACUUUGUUUGGUUUCUGUCACCUCACCAAAAGCAUGCGAAGGCAUCAUCCGAAGUCAGUGAGGAUAAGUUGUGAGUUUUAGAUAAAUGUGUGUUUCAUGGGUAUGUAAAGGGCCUCCCUCUGAAAAGCAUAAGGAUUUGAUUGGCAGGUUAAUUAGCCAGUCCUGACCAACUAGAUUCCAUGUGGAAUGGUUGAAAGGAAGCCAGUCCUUUCUAUUUCUAUGUUUGAAUAAGUCUACUCUUCUUUAGAUUUCUACGCCUAGCAAGCAUUGAACUCGUUUUUCGUGGAGUCAAAUCCCCAGUCAGCUCUGAUUUCAACGAGAUGUACAAACACAAACAUGGCACUCCAGAAUCCUGUGGUAAUCUCCCCUCUAGUUUUCAUGGGAACUCUCCAUCACAUAGACAUACAACCGUACGGCCGGCUGUGACACACACCUUGGUCUCGGGUGAUUGGAUAAUUUGUUUCAGUGUGUUAUGUUGUUUCUGAAGACAUGCUCUGAUUAUGUUUUCUAUGUCCGUGGUAAUGGAUGACCUGAAUGUCCUUUGUUCCUUCCUUUCGGGAUAAAGUGCGCACAGAAAGCUACAGGGACUUCAUGUACCUCAAACCGGAAGUGUUCAAGGACAAGGUGAGCAAAGAUCUCGGCAGUGCGGGUUUUAAAAUAUAAAUUCACAAUUGCUAUAACAGUGACGGCGCUUGAUUUACGCGCUGUAGCGCCUCUCAGCUGUGGACUGUGGAGUGCUGAUAACGGGAGCACACCAACCCCCUUAUUGCCCCUCUUCCUCCCCCAACCCUGCACUGUCAUUGAAGCAGGCAGCAUCCAUCUCCAAGGCCAUCCCUUAUGUGCUGCCACCGGGUAGGCCCUGAGGGAGGGGGGAGAGGAGGGGAAAAGGUUUAAGAGGAUGGUGAAGAGUGCUGGAGCAAUUUUCCAGUCAAAGGGGUUAGGGAUUGGAGAGAAUGGGUCGGAAACGGGACGGUUGCAGGAAGAAGAAAAGCAGGGUUUGGACUGGGUAUUGUUAUCCCUGUCAUCGGGGUGGCGGUGGAUGAGGGUUAUGUCGACCUGCUGCAACCCCUGUCAUCGUGAUAAACACUCUGGCUCCUCUCCUGCACCUCGCCCCCAGUAUGGUCAUUCAGCGAACCAGAAAGAAGCAUCUCUUAAAAAUAUGUUAGUGGGAAAAGAGGGAGAGAUUGUGUCAAAGGACUGUAGGCUGGAUUUGAACCCAUGUCAUUAGACCAGCCAGACCAGAGGAUAGGAGUAUAUCAGACAGAGAAAUAUUUGUGGGAAGUUGAAAAUGGAUUGUAUUACGAGGGAUAUGGUUUUGCUGUUUUGUGUGUAGCUCAAUCCUUUUCUCAUAGCCCCUUCUCAGAUGUCACCAGGUAGGCCAAAACUCUAUCCCACCAAAACAGGCAGAAAUAUCAGGUGUUCUUUUCAAAAGGCUUAGACUAAAAGAGCAUUAUCUUAAUUUUCACAGUAUUAUUCCAACUUCCUUGUGUGGAAGUAUAUAUAUGUGUGUAAAUAAAUAAAUGUGUUUUUGAUUGCACUGGAAACUGCA
ensembl:lncRNA